CAGCAGCCGCGGUAAUACGGAGGGUGCAAGCGUUAAUCGGAAUUACUGGGCGUAAAGCGUGCGUAGGCGGUUCGUUAAGUCUGUUGUGAAUGCCCCGGGCUCAACCUGGGAAUGGCAAUGGAUACUGGCGAGCUAGAGUGUGUCAGAGGAUGGUGGAAUUCCCGGUGUAGCGGUGAAAUGCGUAGAGAUCGGGGGGAACAUCAGUGGCGAAGGCGGCCAUCUGGGACAACACUGACGCUGAGGCACGAAAGCGUGGGGAGCAAACAGGAUUAGAUACCCCCGUAGUCCCUGUCUCUUAUAC
rnacentral:rRNA from 1 species